rnacentral:rRNA from 12 species
UUAUGCGACGAAUUUAUAAUCCCCAUAAAAUCGGAAAACCGUCUUUUUAAUUUAAAAGUUUUCUGUUAUCAAUAAAUAACCGAAAAUAAAAGUUUAGUGAAUUGAAUCAUCUAAGUAACUAAUUAAAAAAAUCAACCGAGAUUCUGUAAGUAGUGGCGAGCGAACACAGAGAAACAGACUCAAAAAUAUUUUAAUUUUUAAAAAUAUGUUUUAACUUUUGUUAAAACAUAACCAAAGAAAGGUGUAUAAAACUAUUUAACUGUAUUUUUUUAGUCCUUUAAAAAAUGUAAAAAAAUAUUUUUUUUUCAAAGUAAAAUAAUUUAUGUUGAAUUAUUUAAAUAUUGGAGAACCAUCUUCAAAGUCUAUAAAAAAUUUAAUGAUUGAUAACGAAAAAAGUACCGUGAGGGAAAGGUGAAAUAGUAAUUUGCGAAUUUGAAAAAAACCUGAAACUUAAUGCUGACAAUCAGUUGAAGCUUAAAAAAAAAGUGACAGCGUACCUUUUGUAUAAUGGACCAACUAGUUUAUUUUAGUGGCAAGCUUAAACUGGUAUAAAGUGUAGGCGAAAAGAAACUAAGUAUUAAAAAUUGCGAUUGUAUUACAUUUUUUUAGUCUCUAAAAUAAUACCCGAAACUAAGUGAUCUAACCAUGAACAGGUUGAAAAUUUAUAGCGGCAACGCUUAUUGGAGGACCGAACCCGUGUUUGUAGAAAAAAACUGGGAUGAUUUGUGGUUAGGGGUGAAAGGCCAAUCAAACUUAGAGAUAGCUGGUUUUCUGCGAAAUCUAUUUAAGUAGAGCAUUUAAAAAUUUUAUUUAUAAAGGUAGAGCACUCAAUAAACUAAGGGAAUGUUUUCAUUUUACUGAAUUUAAUGAAACUCCGAAUUUUAUAUAUAAAUUUUAAAUAGACAGACUGCGAGUGCUAAGAUUCGUAUGUCGAGAGGGAUACAGCCCAGACUAUUCGUUAAGGUCCUAAAGAGAAAUUAAGUGAAAAAACAGUAAAAAAAUAAAAACAACUAAUAAGUAGGCUUGGAAGCAGCCAUCUUUUAAAGAAAGCGUAACAGCUCAUUAGUCUAAUUUUUUUGCGUUAAAAAUGUAUAAGGACUUAAAUAACACUCACCGAAACGAUAGAUUUUAUAACAAAAAACUGUUAAUAAAAUGGUAGCAGAACGUUCUGUAAGUUUUAAAAGAUUUAUAAUAAUAUAAAUUGGAAAUAUCAGAAUUGAAAAUGUUGGUAUGAGUAGCGAAAACAAUGUAAAAAACAUUGUCGUUGAAAGUUCGAGGUUUUUGAAAAAAGGUUAAUCCGCUUCAAUAAAAACGGUCCCUAAGAAUUUUAACGAAAGUUUCAUUUGAUGGGUUUUUGGUUAAAUAUUCCAAAUUUAAUUUAUAGUGACAAAAAAAAUAAUUAAUCUUUAUUUACACGAGUAAACAAAUAACUUUUUUUUUUUUUUUUCAAGAAAUAGCUAAAAUUUUUAAACCGUACCUAAACCGACACAGGUGAACUGAUUGAAUAAAUUAAAACGUUUAAGUGAACUAUAUUGAAGGAACUCGGCAAAAUAACUCUGUAACUUCGGGAGAAAGAGUAACAUAAUAUAAAUUUUUAGUUUAUAUUAUGUUGUCACAAAAUUGAGGACAGCGACUGUUUAACAAAAACACAGGUCUCUGCGAAAUUGUAAAAAGAUGUAUAGAGACUGACGCCUGCCCAGUGCUGCAAGGUUAAUAUUAAAAGUAUAAGCUUUUGAUUCAAGCCCCAGUAAACGGCGGCUGUAACUCUGACGGUCCAAAGGUAGCGAAAUUCCUUGGCAUUUAAUUGGUGUCCUUGCAUGAAUGGCGUAACGACUGUCCUACUGUCUCCAAUAUAGUCUUAGUGAAAUUGAAAUUUCUGUGAAGAUGCAGAAUAUUUGCGGUUAGACGGAAAGACCCCGUGCACCUUUACUAUAAUCAUGUAUUGUAACAAGCGUUUUUUUAUGUAGAAUAUGUGGAAGUUUAAAAAAAUUUUUUAUUUUUAAAACUGUUUUAAAACGUUAGUGAAAUACCACUUUAAAAUUUACUUGUUACUACUUUUUUAAUAAAACAUUGCAUGACGGGUAGUUUGACUGGGGCGGUCGCCUCC